UACGGAGGGUGCAAGCGUUAUCCGGAUUCACUGGGUUUAAAGGGAGCGCAGGCGGGCUGGUAAGUCAGUGGUGAAAGCCUUGAGCUUAACUCGAGAACUGCCAUUGAUACUAUCAGUCUUGAAUAUUGUUGAGGUUUGCGGAAUGGGUCAUGUAGCGGUGAAAUGCAUAGAUAUGACCCGGAACACCUAUUGCGAAGGCAGCAGGCUAAACAAAGAUUGACGCUGAGGCUCGAAAGCGUGGGGAGCAAACAGG
rnacentral:rRNA from 1 species